ACCCUUAAAAUAAAAUAAAAAAUCGUAAACCCUUUUUCUUCAAUUUGCAAUUGCUGUAACUGAAUUGUAACGCCUCUCUCGCACCACCUCCAACGCUUCACUCGCAUCACCUCCGAAUUCCACCUCCAGUUUCCAUCUCCGGCCAUCAUCUCCGACGACGUUUCGUCCCUCACGCUCUCAAUUUCAUUCAGCAGACAACAUGGAAUCAUCGAAAUUUGAAACUUCACUCUACCCAGUAAAUCAUUUUGGGAGCAAUUGACAACCAUACUCACCAUUGUUACCGGCAAUUUAUAGGUCAAAUUGAAGAUGUCGAAGGUCACAGUUUGUGCUCAUAACAUGCCUUUGAGUUCCAGCGAGAUCAGAGAUCACGGCUCUUGUGUUAGUAUUCAUCGUAUGACAACGAAUCGUUCAAUUUCAAGGUUAAAUGUUCCUUUUCUGUAGAAAAAUUAAAUGGAGAUGCUGAUCGCAAAUCGCAUUUUUCUUUUCAUUUAAUUUCGUUGAUUUCUUUUUUUUUUGCUGAAAUUGGAUGUGUCUGCUUUGUGUUGAAGGAUAAGAAAGAUGGAAAUCUAUGUUUCAGCUUUGACAAAGCAUUCUACGAGGAUUAUGCUCAAGCUAGUGUGUAUGAAGCUUUAGCUUUGUGGAUUGUUCAAGAACCUUUGUCAUGCUGAGCUCUGGCAUAUUGCAAUCUGCAAGAUGUACAAUGUUGCCUUGUGAUUUGCCAACAUGUUCUGGUCUAUUCUCUAUAAGUCUAUAUCCAUUAUCCACAACUGCUAUCUUCCUGCCCUUAUUAGUCCCUAAUGUAAAUUAUGAUGGUAUUUGAUCUUUAUCAUUCGGUCACUCACCUAAGACAGUUUAAGAAAUUAUUAUUACGUUAGUAAUUAGUUGCAGAGGUCCAUGCUGCAAAGAAGAGUGCUAUUUUGACUACUUUUCUAGGGUCGUUGUAUUAAAAUAAUAGUGGUUUCUUAUGUAGAACUGUAACUUAGCUAUAUUUGGUUAUACAUAUGCUUGUGUUUUUGGGUUUUCACUUGAAUGUUGUAGGUCAUACAUGUAUGGCUUUAUAUGUGCUUGAUAUCGACUAGAAUUCGGUGAUUACAAUUUACAAUGUAUAUGAUCUGGUACUGUCAUGGAAUGCAAGGUCCCCAUGACCGCCAUCUGAAUCAAUUGUUGGCCAACUAUCUUUUGAACAAUUGUGUAUUCAAAUGCUUCAUGUUGUGAGAAUAUGCAAAUUUCGACUAUAUAGGGACUUGGAAAAUACGAGGAAAAAAUGAUCGGGAGAACAUGCUCGAGGGAUCUGUGAUCAAUUAUACUUCCUUCGGACUCGGAAAAGAUCAUUGCAACUGCUGCUAGGAAAUCAAGUGAUGAGUACUAUAAAGGCAUUGGUCCAAUCUAUUCUCAGGAGAAAAUUGAUGAACUCGGGAGGUUGUGGAUUACAUAUGUCGGAGAUCAACACGAAGCACAAAUGAUGAAUGAGUUUUAAUUUUCCGCCUCAUUGUUACCUUAAUCCACUUUUGGACGUACAUUACAUUUUUGGAUUUGGAUAUUGAUAUCAUGUGGAUGUGGCUAUAUAAUAGAUUUGUUCUUGUUUAUGAUUUAGAUUAAUAUUGAUAUGUAUAUAUAGUAGUUUUUUUAGAAGUUUAGACUUAUGAUAUUAGUUGAAUUAUUUUGUGAUAUAAAGAAUUUCAGAAGUUUGGAAUAUCAUAUUCAAUUUAUUGGUUGCAA